CAAGUAUAAAUACACCGUGCAGGAUGUGGCGGUCUGUGUUUCCGCAGUGAAUUGUUGCUUUCCUGGACACAAUCUUACAUUUCUUGUCGAAAUGAAGAGCUGGAUGAUGAUUAUCCUCUUCGGGCUAGUAGUCGCUGCUGUAAGCUCGGUGAGUGCACAGCAGACCUUACCCCGUUUUUGUCCCUGUUUCGUGAACCCAUGUGAUGUUGCGACCUGCCCUAACUAUCCCACCGCAAGAUGCAGAGCGACCUACGAGUGCCGCCCCAGACCAUGUCUUGCCAGGUUUUAUUACCAGAAUGUCGAAGUGACAAACCUGUGCUCCAUCCGUCGCUACCAACCCUUACCUAAAAAACUGUUCUGUAUGUUUUCACAUGAUAUAACAAAGAUUAACCGAUUGACUGACGAA